AGCGGACGCUGGCGGCAGGCUUAACACAUGCAAGUCGAGCGCCCCGCAAGGGGAGCGGCAGACGGGUGAGUAACACGUGGGAACGUGCCUUUUGGUUCGGAACAACCCAGGGAAACCUGGGCUAAUACCGGAUAAGCCCUUACGGGGAAAGAUUUAUCGCCAAAAGAUCGGCCCGCGUCUGAUUAGCUAGUUGGUGGGGUAAUGGCCCACCAAGGCUACGAUCAGUAGCUGGUCUGAGAGGAUGANCAGCCACAUUGGGACUGAGACACGGCCCAAACUCCUACGGGAGGCAGCAGUGGGGAAUAUUGGACAAUGGGGGCAACCCUGAUCCAGCCAUGCCGCGUGAGUGAUGAAGGCCUUAGGGUUGUAAAGCUUCUUUUAGCAGGGAAGAUAA
rnacentral:rRNA from 1 species